rnacentral:rRNA from 1 species
CCUUUUGGUUAUAAAUAAUUGUUAGUGGCAGACGGGUGAGUAAUGCGUAGGAAUCUACCUAGUAGUAUGGAAUAGCCAUUAGAAAUGAUGGGUAAUACUGUAUAAUCCCUGCGGGGGAAAGAUUUAUCGCUAUUAGAUGAGCCUACGUUAGAUUAGCUAGUUGGUAAGGUAAUGGCUUACCAAGGCUAUGAUCUAUAGCUGGUCUGAGAGGACGAUCAGCCACACUGGAACUGAGAUACGGUCCAGACUCCUACGGGAGGCAGCAGUGGGGAAUAUUGGACAAUGGGCGAAAGCCUGAUCCAGCUAUGCCGCGUGAGUGAAGAAGGCCUUCGGGUUGUAAAACUCUUUCAAUAGGGAAGAUAAUGACGGUACCUAUAGAAGAA